rnacentral:rRNA from 1 species
CAGGCCUAACACAUGCAAGUCGAACGGUGGUAGCAAUACCACAGUGGCAAACGGGUGCGUAACGCGUAAGCAACCUGCCCCAAACCGGGGGAUAGCCCGGCGAAAGCUGGGGUAAACCCGCACGGUCUCAAGAGAUCACCUGGUUUUUUGAGUAAACAUUUAUGGGUUUGGGAGGGGCUUGCGUCUGAUUAGCUGGUUGGCGGGGUAAGAGCCCACCAAGGCGAUGAUCAGUAGGGGUUCUGAGAGGAUUGGCCCCCACAUGGGUACUGAGAUACGGACCCAACUCCUACGGGAGGCAGCAGUAGGGAAUAUUGGGCAAUGGGCGCAAGCCUGACCCAGCCAUGCCGCGUGGAGGAUGAAGGCGCUCAGCGUUGUAAACUUCUUUUAUCGGGGAAGAACGGCAGCCCUGCGGGAUUGUGUGACGGUACUCGAGGAAUAAGCACCGGCUAACUCCGUGCCAGCAGCCGCGGUAAU